UUUUACCUACGGGACGCAGCAGUAGGGAAUCUUCCACAAUGGGCGAAAGCCUGAUGGAGCAACGCCGCGUGGGUGAAGAAGGUCUUCGGAUCGUAAAACCCUGUUGUUAGAGAAGAAAGUGCGUGAGAGUAACUGUUCACGUUUCGACGGUAUCUAACCAGAAAGCCACGGCUAACUACGUGCCAGCAGCCGCGGUAAUACGUAGGUGGCAAGCGUUAUCCGGACUUAUUGGGCGUAAAGGGAACGCAGGCGGUCUCUUAAGUCUGAUGUGAAAGCCUUCGGCUUAACCGGAGUAGAGCAUUGGA
rnacentral:rRNA from 1 species